rnacentral:lncRNA from 1 species
AACACCCCUAGGGCCCUCGGUGGGCCAAAAAAUUCCAGAAAAUCAAGACUUACCGGCGGUGAAGCUCUCGGGUAUGGCGACUCCUCUGGCACGAGUUGCGAUUCGGUGUUUUGCUCCAGUCAACCUGAGAGAAAAGGACGGUUGUCACAGUGGUAUAAAAAUCACAUCAAACGGAAAACGGGAAGGACCUCAUUAGAGGCAAAAAUCGAAGAAACCCGUGGCAGUGCCACUGGACUUCGGCGGUGUUUUCUGGCCAAUUGGCUGGUGGUUUGGCUCCGAUUUGGCCACAGGGAGGUUCGACAUCGAAAACGAGCCAAGG